UACAUUGGCGAAACCGGACGUCACAUACGACUUCGCUACAAUGAACAUCUACGGGACGCGAAGAACCACCGUAUGGACUCACCGUGGGGCGACCACUUCAGAGAUGACCACCCUCGAUGUCGCCCAGAGCCCCAACACAUCGCGGCCAAGAUCCUACAGACAUGCAACACCAGCAGAGACAGGAAAAUAGCAGAGUCGCUAUGGAUAAGGACAUACCGACCAGCCCUAAACACCAACAUCGCAUCUUGGGCAGUUCUGUGAUUAGUGUGAACUGUCAGACUGAGACGUGAUAGAUGUUGGGAUAGCCUCAUGACUGUUAGAUCUUUUGGCUUUUGAGAUGCUUAGUUAGAUGUUUUAUUAAAUGCCGAUGUUUGAAUGAAUCAUUGAAUGGUUGAUUAUAUGUAUGAUUAAAUGGAAUAUUGAAUGAUAGAUUGAUAGAUGAUUGAAUGGACGACUGUGGGUCUGAUUGAUUUAAUGGUUGAAGAGUUGCUUGAUUGGAUGAUAAAAUCGUUGUUUGUUUGAUUGAAUGACUGCUUGAUUGUAUGAUAAAACGUUUGAUUGAAUGAUUUGGAAUGGAUACUUGAAUGGUUUGUCGACUCCAUGACUGAAUGUAAUGGGUGUAACUAGUUGAUUGAACAAUUGGAUGAAUGGCUAGUUUGUUGGCUAGACAAUCGAUCUAUUGAGUAGUUGGUUGUGUACACCUUGCAUGUUAGUUGUAAUUAUAUUGUGUGUUUCUAAGAUGACUAGCAUAGUUAUUCGUUGGGUCACAAGUGAUCUCAUACAGUUGUAUUUGGUUACGUUACCUUAUGUAUACCUGUUAUUUUAGUCUUGCGUUGAUUAAAAGAGGCCGUUCUACUUAUAUGGCACGAGAAUGUGACUAAUAUUCGUAGGUGGGAUCAGUGAAUUCGGCGCUUUUGUGACGUUCAAUUAUUUGUACAUUUCUGUGGCUUGUAUAGUUAACUUUUUGAACUGAAGAAGGAACGUUUCCGAAAUAUAUUCAUUGAUUUUAGGCUAAUUUUUUGGUUUGUUUAAAGAUAGUGAGCAUAAGGUUAUUCUUCUACGAUAUUCAAUAAUGCUGCUCAUUUUAGUACUUCGCCAUCUUAUUAUACUUUGUUUUGAUACGGUUUCUCAUAAAAAGUUAAGUUCAGAUUACUUUCGGGAAAGGAACGAGAAUGCAACUCAUGCUCGGAAUACUCAAAACAUGUAAACUCGAGCAUUGCUUUGGCUUGGUUUUGCAAUUUUUUGCUCGACGAUUCAUGCUGGGUUCUAGAACUGCUGUUUUAUCAGCAUAGUUGAAAUUUCCAUAUCUUCGAAAUUCCAUUGUCCUCGGUUUGCCGUAUUAUUGUAUGCAUCCAUGAGACUCACGUGCAACUGCCAGGCUACUGUUGAACUGGCUGGCACUGGCUACUGUGCAAGGCCGUAUAACUACUGUGUAUGAACACAUUACAUGCCGCUUGAAAAGAAUGCUGUAUCACGAAAGGAAUGAAGUCAACAGGAGCUAUCCGUCUUUUGCGACAGUGCGAAAACCGGCUGUCUUGGUUGUCGCGUGUCUGUUGUUUCCAGAGAGGCAGACACAGAGAGCACCGCGCCCCGCCCCUCCGUGCGCCCCGGCAAGCCCCUGUCUGCGGACACCGUCCGUCAGGACAGGGUGGGCCACCCAAAAUGUCGCCAGCUGAUGUACGAGCGCCGUUCAUCGGAUUACAUGCACGGUAGCUCGGCGCGGGCCAGCCCGGCCUACACGAAUCGCUGUCACGCAGCUUGAAAACGCCGCCUGCAUGCAGCGAGCCCUUGUGAGUGACGGAGAUAGCGGACUCGGGACUUCUCCGGUCUCCAGACUCAGACCCAUCACCCGGGAGCUACUGGUAUCCGGAAUGGCAUGGACCGCGCACCGUAAUUAGGUAUCAUCAGACGGUCGGGUAUGGGACGAGCUGACAUCACUGCAACUACAGGCGCGUGUGUAACGACAGACAUGUGUGCCUCCGAGCGAUGACGAAGGACGGCAAUGGCAGUCGGGUAACGCCCUGCAAAGUCCGGCCAGCAGGAAAUGUGACGUAGCUAUAGCAGAAAAUGCGAUAGUUUCACGUCCGGCUGGCGGUAAAGUCAACAAGUUCACGCGUGAGAAGAGGAGUAACGGUGGCAGGGAAGGCUAAAAUAGAGAGAGGAUCGCAGAAGUAAAACUACGAGAAGCCACAAAAUGAAACUGCCCCAGCUGAACAAACGUCUUGUGGUGCAGCAGAUGCAAGUGAAGCACGGCUGAGGAGUAGCAAGGCGAGGAUUAAACGGAGUGGAACAUCACAGAGCAGCCGCUUCUCGAAUGGUGCAGGUUGUGUGACUGCAGGGCAACUGUUGAGGCCGCCAUUUUUGUGGGACGCUGUUACUGUGAUUUUGCUCCCCAGAAUCAAAAGCAUGUCAUGGAGGAACGAAGGAACGUAU
rnacentral:lncRNA from 1 species